rnacentral:piRNA from 1 species
GCGGGAAAGAAGAGCUGAAAAAAGAG